UACCAACAGCCUUGUUCUUCCUCCUCUGAAUAUGUUCCUGCUCUAGCAUUUGUGCAGCUGAUUUGGAUCAGGGAGUUGAUACGUCUGACAAAUGGUCUUUUCUAGGUUGUUAUGCUACUGGAUUGGGUCAAUGAUCUGACUGAGCUUGUAGACACAGGGUCUGGGGGAGAGAGGAACUGGAGUUAUGAUGAACAGAGAAGUGAGGCUUCCAUCUGUGUCUGGGGAGGGAGCAGCUGUGUGUUGUCAGCAGUCCCUAGACAGAGACAUUUUGGUCAGAGUGAAGUCAGAUGCUGGGAAUUCUGGAGGAGUGCACAGUGCGGUCUCCUUUGAUGCCGUUUGAAGAUUGGAGUGCUAUGUGUCCUUCCUACCCCAGCAUAGCUCUGCUCUGUCAUCUGCCUCUCUCCUGGUGGGAGCCCAGUGUUUCCAUCAAUAAUAGUGUUCUCCAGCC